AGAGUUUGAUCCUGGCUCAGGAUGAACGCUGGCGGCGUGCCUAACACAUGCAAGUCGAGCGAUCUUUCUUCGGAAGAGAGCGGCGGACGGGUGAGUAACGCGUGGGUAACCUGCCUCAUACACAUGGAUAACAUACCGAAAGGUAUGCUAAUACAAGAUGAUAUAAGAGAUUCGCAUGGAUUUCUUAUCAAAGCUCCGGCGGUAUGAGAUGGACCCGCGUCUGAUUAGCUAGUUGGUAAGGUAACGGCUUACCAAGGCGACGAUCAGUAGCCGACCUGAGAGGGUGAUCGGCCACAUUGGAACUGAGACACGGUCCAAACUCCUACGGGAGGCAGCAGUGGGGAAUAUUGCACAAUGGGCGAAAGCCUGAUGCAGCAACGCCGCGUGAGCGAUGAAGGCCUUCGGGUCGUAAAGCUCUGUCCUCAAGGAAGAUAAUGACGGUACUUGAGGAGGAAGCCCCGGCUAACUACGUGCCAGCAGCCGCGGUAAUACGUAGGGGGCUAGCGUUAUCCGGAUUUACUGGGCGUAAAGGGUGCGUAGGUGGUUUCUUAAGUCAGGAGUGAAAGGCUACGGCUCAACCGUAGUAAGCUCUUGAAACUGGGAAACUUGAGUGCAGGAGAGGAAAGUGGAAUUCCUAGUGUAGCGGUGAAAUGCGUAGAUAUUAGGAGGAACACCAGUAGCGAAGGCGGCUUUCUGGACUGUAACUGACACUGAGGCACGAAAGCGUGGGGAGCAAACAGGAUUAGAUACCCUGGUAGUCCACGCCGUAAACGGUGAGUACUUAGGUGUCGGGGGUUACCCCCCUCGGUGCCGCAGCU
rnacentral:rRNA from 1 species